UGCCCCCUUCCCGGGCCCUCCCUCCCCGAUGCCCCCUCCCCGAUGCCCCUUCCCCGGGCUGCGAGCCCGAGCGGCCCAGGUGAGGCUGGACACCGGGCGAGGCGGCCCACGGCGGGGACCGGGCUGCGGUUCUCCUGGGAGCGCCCCUCCGGGCAGCCGGCGGGCGGCUGCACGCGGACCGGUCCCCCGGGACGCACGCGGCGGAGCCCUAAAGUAGCAGAUCAAGUUAACGGUGUAACGUGCGCGGGUUGCAGCGCGGCCCUGAGGCGUGCUGGUGACCGCGCGGAAUGCACCUCCGCGCCCGCUCCGCUGUGCCGUCGGGCUGCCGCGGCCAGAGCACUGACUGGCUUCCUUUCCAACCGAGACGAGCUUCGCAAAGGAAGCGGAUGCGAUCUAGACGAUUGACGGGAAAGUGGAAGACGGGUCUGCCUUUGGUCACCAAAGCAAGGUCGUCCUGGCCCUUGCGCUGAAGAGAGCAGAAAAUCGGGAAGGAGGUUACCUGCGGCUGGGGGUCCGUGCUCCUGUUAACGGUCCGCUCUACCUGAGGCUCGCACAGAGGCGGUGAGAUCGGAUCAGGCCGCUUCGAGCAGCGCUCAUCUCCACGCCAGCGCGCCUCCAGCUACAGUGGUUGAACCCUAAAACUCACCCAGUCACAGUCAAAAAUCUCUCCCGAGAAUCCAGCCCUUCCUCCUACAGAAUUUAGCACAGAGAGGGAGACACAACUGAGAGGAGAAACGUUUCAACCCAAGUCUAAGGCCCAGGUUUCUCAACCCAGUGUGUGAUCUACACAACCGCGUGUGGUCUUCCACGUACACACAAGAGCAUGUCGCAUGCACACAGGCGCACGGCGUCCUGUGGGUGUAUGUGUGGCUGUGUCUGCAUACGGACAACCUACAUGUGUGUGUUUUAUUUCAAAAUGUUGCAGUGUCUCGGGAACACGAGAAGAGGAAGGCUCGUGACUACUUUGAAUAAACAAUUGCUUUGAUAUCCACUUACAGAACUAUUUCCAGAGAUAAGAAAUGCACAGGGCUCUUUUAACCACCAGAGCCUCUCCAUGCGUAAAUUAUUCCCUGAGAGUCACUUAAGCGAUGCAUUUAUACGUUCAAAAGACAAGAGUGUCUCCACAGUAAUAAUUUAUUAAUUUGGUAGGCUGUAUCCCUAAUUUAAUAAACAGCACCUCAAGGCCUGAAAAUUAAUAGAGAUGUUAUGUGAUACCCUCAGUCUGAAACAAGAUAAAUAUUGGGGGCCAGUUGGUAGAAUGUUAUUGAAAAUGUUUCCCUAAUGUAUAUAGGAAUCCCAGUGCCUGUUGUAGGUAAAAUACCUAAUAAAUUAAAACUGCUUGCUGGUGAACUACCUGAAAA